CAGCAAGGUUACAGCCACUCAGGCUUCUCCAGCCUUUGUUUUCUAGGUUUAGUUGCAACAGAGAUCUUAAGUUAAUAGAGAACUCAUUUCUGUGUGUUUUACUGCUAAUGGUUAAAGUGUUUGGAUCAGAAACAAUGCAAAUUAUAUCAAGAGAAAAAUAUGGGGAGCUAUCCCAAGAGCAGAGACCCAGCUUUUGUCAAGCUUUUUCUUAUUUUGAGUGGUAAGGAUCUGCUACAGAUCUUAGAAUAGAAUGAGAUUUUUUUUUAACAUGGAAACACAUGAUUUCCAAUACACUUCCUUGGGUAGCGUAACUGGUUUUAACAGAAUACUACAUCCAGUCAUGUACUGUAUAUGUGUUCACGUCAACAUGAAACUCCAGAUGAUUUAUACCUUGACAUCCUGGCCUAUGGCCAUACACCAAAAGCAAGAUCCAUUCACGGGAUGAUACACACAUCUUUCCACCACAGAGAAAUCGUUUGGAAAACAGAAAGCUAUUUUCUAGGAAAGAAGGUUUGGGAAUUGCAAGUAUCAGAGCAUACAGAAGUCCAGUCGUCCUUAUGGGUGCAGAAGAACAGAAUCUGA
rnacentral:lncRNA from 1 species